UACGUAGGGCGCAAGCGUUGUCCGGAAUUAUUGGGCGUAAAGAGCUCGUAGGCGGUUUGUCGCGUCUGCUGUGAAAACUCGAGGCUCAACCUCGGGCUUGCAGUGGGUACGGGCAGACUAGAGUGCGGUAGGGGAGACUGGAAUUCCUGGUGUAGCGGUGGAAUGCGCAGAUAUCAGGAGGAACACCGAUGGCGAAGGCAGGUCUCUGGGCCGCAACUGACGCUGAGGAGCGAAAGCGUGGGGAGCAAACAGG
rnacentral:rRNA from 1 species